rnacentral:rRNA from 1 species
CCUACGGGUGGCUGCAGUGGGGGAUAUUGCACAAUGGGGGAAACCCUGAUGCAGCGACGCCGCGUGGGUGAAGAAGCGCCUCGGCGCGUAAAGCCCUGUCAGCAGGGAAGAAAAUGACGGUACCUGAAGAAGAAGCCCCGGAUAACUACGUGCCAGCCGCCCCGGUAAUACGUAGGGGGCAAGCGGUAUCCGGAUUUACUGGGUGUAAAGGGGGCGAAGACGGCGAUGAAAGCCAGGAGUGAGAGCCAGGGGCCCAAACCCGGGACUGCUCUGGGAACUGCGUGGCUAGAGUGCAGGAGGGGCAGGCGGAAUUCCUGGUGUAGCGGUGAAAUGCGUAGAUAUCAGGAGGAACACCGGUGGCGAAGGCGGCCUGCUGGACUGCAACUGACGUUGAGGCCCGAAAGCGUGGGGAGCAAACAGGAUUAGAUACCCCUGUAGUC